rnacentral:rRNA from 1 species
CAGUAGCCGCGGUAAUACGGAGGAUCCAAGCGUUAUCCGGAAUCAUUGGGUUUAAAGGGUCCGUAGGCGGUCUUGUAAGUCAGUGGUGAAAGCCCAUCGCUCAACGGUGGAACGGCCAUUGAUACUGCAGGACUUGAAUUAUUGGGAAGUAACUAGAAUAUGUAGUGUAGCGGUGAAAUGCUUAGAGAUUACAUGGAAUACCAAUUGCGAAGGCAGGUUACUACCAAUUGAUUGACGCUGAUGGACGAAAGCGUGGGUAGCGAACAGGAUUAGAGACCCGCGUAGUCCCUGUCUCUUAUAC